AAAGAUGGCUUUCUAGAUUAUUGACAUGUUUUUGGAUUUUCGUUUCAAAUUGCAGGUUUCACUUUUCUACUACAACAAAAUGAGAAGUGAAGCUCACGAGCUUUACGACCGCUCUCAUUUUCAC
ensembl:snoRNA C04A2.16 ncRNA